ensembl:rRNA 5S_rRNA 5S ribosomal RNA
GCUUACGGCCAUACCACCCUGACCACGCCCUAUCUUGUAUGAUCUCAGAAGUUAAGCAGGGUCGGGCCUGGUUAGUACUUGGAUGGGAGACCGCCUGGGAAUACCAGGUGCUGUAAGCU